rnacentral:rRNA from 1 species
GGGGAAAAAUUAAUAAAUUAGUUAUAAUAAAAUAAUUUUUAAUAAAAUAUAUUUAAUGGGGGUUAAAGUAUAUUUUUAUGAAAAAAUUAAAAAUUUUAUAGUAAAUUAGUAUUGUAAAAGAAAUUUGAAAUAUGUGAAAAUAAAAUUCAUUUAGAAGUAAAUUUUAUUUAUUGUAUCUUGUGUAUCAGAGUUUAUUAAAAAUUAUUUUUAAGAAAAAAUUUCUCGAAUUUAAAAGAGUUAAUUAUUUAUUAAAGUUAAUGUAGUAUAAUUAUUUUUAAUAAAUAAUUGGAAAUGAAAUGUUAAUCGUUUUUAAAUAUAUCUAGUUUUUUUAGAAAAAAAUUUAAUUUUAAAUGUAAAUAAAAAAAAAAUUAUUUUUAAAAUAUUUUUUUUUUACAUUAAAUAUUUUAAGGGAUAAGCUUUAAAAUAAAGUUUUAUAAUAAAAUUAAUUAAUAUAAAAUUUUUAAAAUUUAUAUUGUUUAUAAAUUAUAAUUUNNNNNNNNNNNNNNNNNNNNNNNNNNNNNNNNNNNNNNNNNNNNNNNNNNNNNNNNNNNNNNNNNAUUUUUAAUAAAAUAAAAUUAAUUAUAAUGAUAAAAUUAGUAUAUAAUUAAAUUAAUAAUUAAAAGAUUAUAAAAAUUUAAUAAAAGGAAUUCGGCAAAUUUUUAUAUUCACUUGUUUAUCAAAAACAUGUCUUUUUGGGUUUAAUUUAAAGUCUGGUCUGCCCACUGAUUAAUAGAAAUUAAAGGGCUGCAGUAUUUUGACUGUACAAAGGUAGCAUAAUCAUUAGUCUCUUAAUUGGUGACUUGUAUGAAAGAUUUGAUGAAAUAUAAACUGUCUCUUAUUAAUUUAUAGAAUUUAAUUUUUUAGUAAAAAAGCUAAAAUAAUUUUAAAAGACGAGAAGACCCUAUAGAGUUUUAUAAUAAGUUUAAUUAAAUUUUUAUUUAUAAAUAUUUUAUUUUUAAUAAAAUUUAUUAUUUUAUUGGGGUGAUAGAAAAAUUUAAUAAACUUUUUUUAAAAAAAAAAUACAUUUAUAAAUGAUUACAUGAUCCGUUAUUAACGAUUAUAAGAAUAAAUUACCUUAGGGAUAACAGCGUAAUUUUUUUUUUUAGUUCAAAUAAAAAAAAAAGUUUGCGACCUCGAUGUUGGAUUAAGAUAAAAUUUAAAUGCAAAAGUUUAAAAUUUUGAUCUGUUCGAUCAUUAAAAUCUUACAUGAUCUGAGUUCAAACCGGUGUAAGCCAGGUUGGUUUCUAUCUUUAGAAAAUAAAAAUGUUUUAGUACGAAAGGAUCAAAUAUUUAAAAUAAUUUUAAAAAAAGAAUAAUAAUAAUAAAUAAUUGUUUACUAUUUUGACAGAUAAAUGUGAU